rnacentral:rRNA from 1 species
GAGUUUGAUCGUGGCUCAGGACGAAACGCUGGCGGCGUGCCUAAUACAUGCAAGUCGAGCGAGUCUCUUCGGAGGCUAGCGGCGGACGGGUGAGUAACACGUAGGCAACCUGGCCUCUCAGACCGGGAUAACAUAGGGGAAACUUAUGCCUAAUACCGGAUAGGUUUUUGGAUUGCAUGAUCCGAAAAGAAAGAUGGCUUUCGCUAUCACUGGGAGAUGGGCCUGCGGCGCAUUAGCUAGUUGGUGGGUAACGGCCUACCAAGGCGACGAUGCGUAGCCGACCUGAGAGGGUGUACCGGCCACACUGGGACUGAGACACGGCCCAGACUCCUACGGGAGGCAGCAGUAGGGAAUUUUCCACAAU